rnacentral:ncRNA from 1 species
AGAGAAUAUUGCUUCCGAUUUAUUAUCAUCCCUACUGGGAGAUAAUAAACCUUAGGGUAUGAUGAGUAAUUAUCGUGCCUGCCAUUGUGCAAAGGAAGAGGUACUAAAAUU